UACGUAGGUGGCAAGCGUUGUCCGGAUUUACUGGGCGUAAAGAGCGCGCAGGCGGUCGUUCAAGUCGCGUGUGAAAGCCCCCGGCUCAACUGGGGAGGGUCACGCGAUACUGUUCGACUCGAAGGCAGGAGAGGGAAGCAGAAUUCCCGGUGUAGUGGUGAAAUGCGUAGAUAUCGGGAGGAAUACCAGUGGCGAAGGCGGCUCACUGGUCCGGUACUGACGCUGAUGUGCGAAAGCGUGGGGAGCAAACAGG
rnacentral:rRNA from 1 species